GGAGUUAGCCGGUGCUUCUUCUGCGAGUAACGUCACAGAUGUAAGGUAUUAACUUACACCCUUUCCUCCUCGCUGAAAGUGCUUUACAACCCGAAGGCCUUCUUCACACACGCGGCAUGGCUGCAUCAGGGUUUCCCCCAUUGUGCAAUAUUCCCCACUGCUGCCUCCCGUAGGAGUCUGGGACGUGUCUCAGUCCCAGUGUGGCUGAUCAUCCUCUCAGACCAGCUAGGGAUCGUCGCCUAGGUGAGCCUUUACCUCACCUACUAGCUAAUCCCACCUGGGCUUAUCCAUCAGCGCAAGGCCCGAAGGUCCCCUGCUUUCCCCCGUAGGGCGUAUGCGGUAUUAGCAGUCGUUUCCAACUGUUAUCCCCCACAAAUGGGCAAAUUCCCAGGCAUUACUCACCCGUCCGCCGCUCGUCAUCUUCAAAAGCAAGCUUUUGAAAUGUUACCGCUCGACUUGCAUGUGUUAGGCCUGCCGCCAGCGUUCAAUCUGAGCCAGAAUCGAACCCUGA
rnacentral:rRNA from 1 species